ACUCUUGUAUAGAAAAAGGAUAAUAAAACAACAAAAAAUCCUAGUUUAGCUCAAAUGUUCAUAGCAACACGCAAGGAGAAGCUAACAAAGCGAAAGCUUGGUGACCUAAGGGACAAAUUGAUGACUGAACUUGAGAAAUUAGAUUCAGAGGAGGAGGUUGAAAGUGUGAUUUCAACUAUUAUUGGUUCUGAUAACAAGAAAAAGUCUCGAUUAAAUUUUUAUGGAAGAGGUGUUUCAUAGAAGGCCUUGAUGUAGGAAGCUGAAGAGAAGCAUGCUCAGGAGGUUCAAGCUCUACAAAAAGAUUAUGAGGACAAAAGGCAACAAUAUAGAAGGGAGAUAGCAUAUGGUCUUAGCUCCAUCCUUUCUCAAAUUCAACAACAAAAUCCACAAAUGUCUUUUGAUUUAAGUAUGCUUGGCUCUUUAUUUCUUGAUAAUCAAUUUGAGAAGGAUGGUGGUAGUACAACAGAAAUGCUUCGAUUUCAAUCUUCGGCUUCUACAUCCAAGGGAGAUGAACAAGAAGAAGAUGAAGAAGGCUGCGAGUAAGAAGAAGAAGAAUAUGACUUUAUGGCUCAAUUUGAAGUUGCUUUAACCUUUUAUUAUUUCUUCUAUUUUUUAGUUAGACUAAUAUUAUGGCCUACAACAUUCUAUUAAACAAUAGAUUAUUUAGAUAGAUUUGAUGUUGAAAACAAGUUGAUAUUGUUUUGGUUGUACUGUUUUACUAAUUAAUUUUAUAUGUUUGGGAUUAUGUAGUCAAAUGCUUAUUACAUGUUUUAAUGUUCAACAUUUUUCUAAUAUAACAAAUUCAAAAUAGUA